AUGCUCGGGGUCAAGUCCGGACGGGCGAUGACCCUGUGUGUCUGGGGUUGGCUCCUCCCCUCUGCCCCCCAGCUGUCUUCUCCUUCUGUUCUCAGCAGCCCAGUCCUGCUUGAGGUCCCUGAACAAGCCGUACUCUCUCAUCGCCUCCCACCUAGAAGGUUCCUUUCCUCUCAGCCAGCAGUGGGCAGUGCUUGCAGGCUGACUCCCCAUCCCAGGGCUGAGCCAGCUCCAACCUGGGCCUGUCUCCUGGAGUUCUUCCUUGGCUUGCCUCCCCUGCCCGGAACUGACUCUGGGGUUCCAGACCUUUCUGCUCAUCCCCAUGCCUUGAUCACAGCCUUGGCCUAUACUUAAUCAUGGUUGCGGGUUUGCUUCUCGGCUUCCCAAUUAGACUGGGUGCUCCUUGAGGUCAAGGGUCCUAUUUCUGGUCGUUUCCCAGCACGGAGCCCCAUGCUUGAAGGAGCCUGAUAAAUGCUUGUGAAAUGAAGCGCAGUCCUAACCUCCAUCCUUCACUCCAACCACCACACCGUCCUCCCGGCACCCUCUUACCAGCUUCCACUGAGAUCCCUCCCGGCCCCUCUUGGGGUCUCCAGCGGAGUAGUGUCUGCCUAGCCCAAUCCCAUCGAGGGCACUUGUUUUCUUCACCAUCUCUAUUGCUAAAGUGGAAUUAAAAACUAGCUGAAAAGGUUCACUUAAUUGGCAAAUAAAGUGAGCAGACAUCCUAAUCUAGUCUGGGAUCAACCAGGGCCCCUCCGCCCGAGCAUGGUGACCUGAACGCCUGGGAUGCCUGCCAUUUACUGGGGCCCCGUAUAAAGACAAUCACAGUGUUAUCACCACGGUUCACACAGGAGGUGGCCUUGGCUCAGAGACAGCGUCACCCGUCCCAGGCCACACGGCUGCUGCUUUACAGCUCGCCUGCACGCAUCUGUGCCUCCGCCUCCAGAGCUCAGUUGCUCUGCUAUCCUGCUCUGCCUGGGGCUUGUGACCGUCUCCCACAAGACACCUAAGCUCAGAUUCACCCGGACUCGACCUCCCGUGUGCUCUUCGGAUCCCUUGUUUAUGGGAUCAUGUGAAACAGCAGCAGACAGGACCCUAAGCAUUCUUCCCUUCUCACAGCAUGGCCGCUGGGCGCGGCCGCUGAGUGAGGCUCUGUUCCCCUCGGUGGGGACUGCUGCUUGGCUUCUUGCUAGCGACAUGUGAGCAGAAGAAAUGUGUGCAAAUUGCCCAUCGCUUGCUUCAGAGGAGUUUCCUCACUGUUGGCUGGAAAUAGGGGCCACUGGUGAGGAUAUAGGGGCUCCUGGAACCCAGGGACUCAGUGAACACUGCUGACUGGCCGCCCUGGGCUGCUGCAUUCUGACAUCUCUUUAGCCUUCACCCGAACUAACACAGUGGGUAAGGUCGGGGUGAUCCCAGCGUGGUUCAUGGAGCAGCAGCAAGAGGACUUCCUAGAGGGGUUAGAAGGCAGAGUCCCAGGCCACACGGCUGCUGCUUUACACAGCUCGCCUGCACGCAUCUGUGCCUCCGCCUCCAGAGCUCAGUUGCUCUGCUAUCCUGCUCUGCCUGGGGCUUGUGACCGUCUCCCACAAGACACCUAAGCUCAGAUUCACCCGACUCGACCUCCUGUGUGCUCUUCGGAUCCCUUGUUUAUGGGAUCAUGUGAAACAGCAGCAGACAGGACCCUAAGCAUUCUUCCCUUCUCACAGCAUGGCCGCUGGGCGCGGCCGCUGAGUGAGGCUCUGUUCCCCGGUGGGGACUGCUGCUUGGCUUCUUGCUAGCGACAUGUGAGCAGAAGAAAUGUGUGCAAAUUGCCCAUCGCUUGCUUCAGAGGAGUUUCCUCACUGUUGGCUGGAAAUAGGGCCACUGGUGAGGAUAUAGGGGCUCCUGGAACCCAGGGACUCAGUGAACACUGCUGACUGGCCGCCCUGGGCUGCUGCAUUCUGACAUCUCUUUAGCCUUCACCCGAACUAACACAGUGGGUAGGGUCGGGGUGAUCCCAGCGUGGUUCAUGGAGCAGCAGCAAGAGGACUUCCUAGGGGGUUAGAAGGCAGAGUCCCAGGCCCCACCCUGAACUGACGGAAUCAGAACCUCUGAGGCUGGGGCCUGGGAAUCAGUGUUGCACAAAACUCUCACUGUGAUCUUCUGUUGUUGUUCAGUUGCUCAGUCGUGUCCGACCCUCAGUCGUGUCCCAUGAACUGCAGCACGCCAGGCUUCCCAGUCCUUCAUUAUCUCCCGGAGUUUGCUCAAACUCAUGUGCAUUGAACUGGUGAUGCCAUUUAAUUGUCUCAUCCUCUGUCGCCCCUUCAAUCUUUUCCAGCAUCAAGGUCUCUUCCAACGAGUUCACUCUUUGCAUCAGGUAGUCAAAGUACUGGAGCUUCAGCUUCAGCAUCAGUCCUUCCAAUGGAUAUCCAGGGUUUCUUCCUUUGGGAUUGACUGGUUUGAUCUCUCAAGAGUUUUCUCCAACACCACAGUUCAAAAGCAUCAGUUCUUUGACACUCAGCCUUUUCUAUUGUCCAGCUCUCACAUCCAUACAUGAUUAGUAGAAAAGCCAUAGCUUUGGCUAUAUGGACCUUUCAGGCUAAAGUUUAAGAAAUGGUGCUCUGGAUGCUUCUAAGGAAAAACGCAUCACCUUUUCAAGCUGAGGAAGCUGUCAUUCUGGUGACUGGAACUCCAGUUCCGUGGCCUCCUCUCUUACACAGAUUUCACGCAGAUUCAGGCAGCCCAUGUUCCUGGUGUGGAAAAACAGGGUCUGUCUGAGGCAGCCAGUGCCCGUUCUGUGCCCCAGUUUCCUCUGAGAUCCCUUCUAACUGGUCCGUCCUUGAGCCCAAGUGGCCAGUCCAAGAUCUCAGGGUCACUGCAGUGUCAGGGAUUUCAGGCCAGACACGCAGUGUUGGGGAGUAGUCAUCGGAACUUCUCAGGAGUCGGGGCUGGUUCCGAGGAGUGAACAGCAUGCAUGUGAAAUAGGAGGUGGUUCUUAGAAAUGGGGCAGGAGGCCAGAGUGGUCCUCUGUAGUUCGUCAUUUCUCACCACCUCACCAGUUAGCAAGAAAAGAAAAUUUAAAAUGCUUUUUUGGACUUUCGUGGUGAUCCAAUGGUUUAGCUUCAGCACUUCCAAUGCAGGGGUGCAGGUUCGAUCCCUGGUUGGGGACUAAGACUCCACAUGCUGUGUGGUGCAGCCAAAAAUAAAAAUAAAACAGAAUCACACAGCUUCAAAAAAUUAAAAUAAUAAUGAUAAAAUUUCCAAAAUUCUUUUUUGACUUUUUUCCCCAAGAUUUUUGAUGUAGAUCAUUUUUAAAAGUCUUUGUUGAAUUUGUUCAGUUGCUCAGUCGUGUCCGACCCUCAGUCGUGUCCCAUGAACUGCAGCACGCCAGGCUUCCCAGUCCUUCAUUAUCUCCCGGAGUUUGCUCAAACUCAUGUGCAUUGAACUGGUGAUGCCAUUUAAUUGUCUCAUCCUCUGUCGCCCCUUCAAUCUUUUCC
rnacentral:lncRNA from 1 species